CAUGACCAUCGUUUACCAAGAAACAAAGCAGCUUCCAGCUCAUGACAAUGACGUCACCUUCUAACUAACAUAUUCUUCCAGCUUCAAACGAUAGUGUGGUGACCUACAGUACAAGUCCUGAGAAAACAUUUGAGAUGAUUUGAAGUGCAGGGUUCCAAGCUCCUGAGUCUGCAGCAGCUGAGGAAGAGGAGGGGAGGCGUGACCUCUGCAGGAGACGCAGCGACAGCAGUACGAAGCCAAUGCUCAUCCCGCCUAGGAUGACCACACCUGAGAUGAGCGCGGCGGUCACUGGGUUCAUCAGGUGGGAGGAGUCACCCGGCCCUACGAGUUCCAUUUGGCUGCAUCGCAAGGUGUGCAAGAGGCUUUGAAACGACAAAUACGACAUCACCCACACCCUACACCUCAAUACAAAAAUGUCAAGGCUGUUCCCACACGCUUCCAGGGUGCUGAGGCCGAUGCUGAACAGCACAACCGUGGGGAAGGUGUUGUUGUUGAUGAAG